rnacentral:rRNA from 1 species
CGUAGGUGAACCUGCGGAGGGAUCAUUACACAAAUUAAAAUAUGAAGGCUUCGGCUGGAUUAUUUUUAUCACCCUUGUCUUUUGCGCACUUGUUGUUUCCUGGGCGGGUUCGCCCGCCACCAGGACCACACCAUAAACCUUUUUUUAUGCAGUUGCAAUCAGCGUCAGUAUAACAAAUGUAAAUCAUUUACAACUUUCAACAACGGAUCUCUUGGUUCUGGCAUCGAUGAAGAACGCAGCGAAAUGCGAUACGUAGUGUGAAUUGCAGAAUUCAGUGAAUCAUCGAAUCUUUGAACGCACAUUGCGCCCUUUGGUAUUCCAAAGGGCAUGCCUGUUCGAGCGUCAUUUGUACCCUCAAGCUUUGCUUGGUGUUGGGCGUCUUUUGUCUUUGGCCUCGCCCAAAGACUCGCCUUAAAACGAUUGGCAGCCGGCCUACUGGUUUCGCAGCGCAGCACAUUUUUGCGCUUGCAAUCAGCAAAAAGGACGGCAAUCCAUCAAGACUACAUUUUUACGUUUGACCUCGGAUCAG